GUGCUCGAAAAUGUUAAAGUUCUUAUUUCAUGGUAUAACUUUGGUAUGCUUGGACCUAGAGUCUUCAAACUUGACAUGAAGGUUGGCCAGGAUUAACAGAUGACCACUGGUCAUUUCAAGGUCAUUCAUUUGAAGGUCAAGGUCACUGUGACCUUCAAUAUAAAAAAUGUUAAAGUUGUUAUAACUUUGGUAUGCUUGGACCUAGAGUCUUGAAACUUGACAUGAAGGUUGGCCAUAACUAGUUAGUAACCACUGGUCAUUUCAAGGUCAUUCAUUUGAAGGUCAAGGUCACUGUGACCUUGAAUGUAAAAAUGUUAAAGUUCUUAUUUCAUGGUAUAACUUUGGUAUGCUUGGACCUAGAGUCUUCAAACUUGACAUGAAGGUUGGCCAGGAUUAACAGAUGACCACUGGUCAUUUCAAGGUCAUUCAUUUGAAGGUGAAGGUCACUGUGACCUUCAAUAUAAAAAUGUUAAAGUUGUUAUAACUUUGGUAUGCUUGGACCUAGAGUCUUGAAACUUGACAUGAAGGUUGGCCAGAACUAGUAAGUAACCACUGGACAUUUCAAGGUCAUUCAUUUGAAGGUCAAGGUCACUGUGACCUUGAAUGUAAAAAUGUUAAAGUUCUUAUUUCAUGUUAUAACUUUGGUAUGCUUGUACCUAGAGUCUUCAAACUUGAAAUAAAGAUUGGCCAGUACUAGAAGAUGACCACUGGUCAUUUCAAUGU